rnacentral:snRNA from 1 species
AGCUUUGCGCAGUGGCAGUAUUGUAGCCAGUGAGGUUUAUACGAGGCGCGAUUAUUGGUAAUUAUA